UACGUAGGGGGCAAGCGUUAUCCGGAAUUACUGCGUGUAAAGGGUGAGUAGGCGGCAUGGUAAGCCAGAUGUGAAAGCCUUGGGCUUAACCCGAGGAUUGCAUUUGGAACUAUCAAGCUAGAGUACAGGAGAGGAAAGCGGAAUUCCUAGUGUAGCGGUGAAAUGCGUAGAUAUUAGGAAGAACACCAGUGGCGAAGGCGGCUUUCUGGACUGAAACUGACGCUGAGGCACGAAAGCGUGGGGAGCGAACAGG
rnacentral:rRNA from 1 species